rnacentral:lncRNA from 1 species
AAAAUCAAAAUAAGGGUGCAAACAUAAAAGCAAUUCAAAUAAAGUAGCAUGGAUCCUAUCUCAGAUAUUUCCCAAGGCAAACCAUAUUUCAAUAUCCCAAAGAGAAAGAUUAGAAAUGUGUCAUCACAAGAAAAUUGCUCAGUGGAUGCAUGGCAGCAUACUAUCAGCAAACAUACCCAGCAACCUGAGAUUAAUACUCACAAUUCAAGAGCUUCCAUGAAAGUUGUGAAUUUAUACAAACAGAAAGGUAUAUAGGACUUGAUACUAACUUAGAAUCACAAGAUUCAACCGAUUUUGUAAAGGAAAUGGCAAAGAACCAUGACCUAUCAUCACCUGAGGGUUCUUCCCGUAAGUAGAACAACGUUCACGCUUAGCAUGCUUAUUUCAGAAAGCUAUCUCCGCUAGUAGUUGGUAGUAAGUUAAGAACCAAUAGACUGCAUUAAAGAUACUUGAAAAAAGGGCACACAUUAGGUGUUUUGAAUCUUGGGUAAAAAUGGUAGUACGAACAAUAAUAAUGGAGAUAAUCAUCUUUCGUAUACAGGUACAUUCAAAACACAUAUAGUAUAGUGGGAUAGAAAUAUUGAGAAACAACAACAGCAAAGGCAAACUACAUCUAUGACCAUGAGCCAUAAUAGGGAAACCCAUCAGGCAAAUAUAUUGUUUGUAAGGGCCUAUCCUGCAAUUUAAAAGACAUGUAAUGAAGAAAACAGAUGCUGAAAGACUAACCUCAACCAGCGUCAUGGGCUGCGGAAAUAGCUGUUAAUCAGCCAAAGGAGCAAGGUGGAGCAAUCGAGCGAAAGGGAGGGAGGUCCACACAUUUGCAGAUGAACCAGUGAC